UACAGAGGUCCCAAGCGUUGUUCGGAUUCAUUGGGCGUAAAGGGUGCGUAGGCGGCGCGGUAAGUCGGCUGUGAAAGUCAAGGGCUCAACCCUUGAAAGCCGGCCGAUACUGUCGGACUAGAGUCCGGAAGAGGCGAGUGGAAUUCCCGGGUGUAGCGGUGAAAUGCGCAGAUAUCGGGAGGAACACCAAUGGCGAAGGCAGCUCGCUGGGACGGUACUGACGCUGAGGCGCGAAAGCGUGGGGAGCAAACAGG
rnacentral:rRNA from 1 species